rnacentral:rRNA from 1 species
AUACCGCAUAAGCCCACAGCUCGGCAUCGAGCAGAGGGAAAAGGAGCAAUCCGCUUUGAGAUGGCCUCGCGUCCGAUUAGCUAGUUGGUGAGGUAACGGCCCACCAAGGCGACGAUCGGUAGCCGGACUGAGAGGUUGAACGGCCACAUUGGGACUGAGACACGGCCCAGACUCCUACGGGAGGCAGCAGUGGGGAAUAUUGCACAAUGGGGGAAACCCUGAUGCAGCGACGCCGCGUGGAGGAAGAAGGUCUUCGGAUUGUAAACUCCUGUUGUUGAGGAAGAUAAUGACGGUACUCAACAAGGAAGUGACGUUUUUUUAUGUGCCAGCAGCCGCGGUAAAACGUAGGUCACAAGCGUUGUCCGGAAUUACUGGGUGUAAAGGGAGCGCAGGCGGGAGAACAAGUUGGAAGUGAAAUCCAUGGGCUCAACCCAUGAACUGCUUUCAAAACUGUUUUUCUUGAGUAGUGCAGAGGUAGGCGGAAUUCCCGGUGUAGCGGUGGAAUGCGUAGAUAUCGGGAGGAACACCAGUGGCGAAGGCGGCCUACUGGGCACCAACUGACGCUGAGGCUCGAAAGUGUGGGUAGCAAACAGGAUUAGAUACCCUGGUAGUCCACACCGUAAACGAUGAUUACUAGGUGUUGGAGGAUUGACCCCUUC